rnacentral:rRNA from 1 species
GAUGAACGCUGGCGGCGUGCCUAAUACAUGCAAGUCGAGCGAACAGACGAGGUGCUUGCUCCUCUGACGUUAGCAGCGGACGGGUGCGUAACACGUGGUUAACCUACCUCUCAGACUGGGAUACCUUCAGGAAACCGUAGCUAAUACCGGAUAAUAUAUUGCCCCUCAUUGUUCAAUAGUUAAAUACGGUUUUGCUGUCACUUAUAGAUUGAUCCGCGCCGCAUUAGGUAGUUGGGAAGGUAACGGCUUACCAAGGCAACGAUGCGUAGCCGACCUGAGGGGGAGAAGGGACAGAUGGGAGGUGAGGAACGGCCAAGACGCUGACGGGAGGCAGCAGUAGGGACUCCUACGGGAUGGGGGAGAGAGGAACGGAGGAACGCGGCGGAAAUGAUGAAGGAGUUCUGAUCGGAAAAUGAUGAUGGUAGGAGGGAAGAAAUGUGUAAGUAACUAGGAAGAUAAUGACGGUACCGGAAGAAAAAGCUACGGCUAACUACGUG